rnacentral:lncRNA from 1 species
CUGGUGGCCGGCAGAGCAGGUAGUCAGCCAAGGCUUCAUAGUUCUCACCCACGGCAAUUCAGCUAGCAAACUAGAGACACUUCCCCAAGAAGACACAGCGUGGCAAGACUGCUGAGACGCAUAAAGAAAUCUUAGCUGGUUUCCUGGUUGAAUGUUCUGUUGUAGAAGAAUGCAACUGAGUUUUCUAAACAGAUCUUCUUCUUGACAUCCUUGCUGAACGAAAGUGACCGGCCCUCUUUAAGACUCAGUGUGCUUACCUCUGAAAUGGAGCUGUCAAUCACAUCUGCCUCACAGGCUUGUUCUGAGGAUGAAGUGAGAAAAUGCCCACGAGGUGCUGGUUGCAGCAGCUGGUGCAUAGAGCUUAAAAAGGAUGCAGUCCCAAAACAUAGAAGGAUUUACUCCAGAUCCAAGCAAUGAGUCAGGAACAGAAAGCCUGAUGCCCUCACCUGGAACUCUCCCUCCUCCCUGGAUGAGGACCUUCCCCAGAAUUGCAGGGCACCCACACAAGACCAAGCAAGUUCAGAGAAAAUUGAAACCUGACUUUAGAGCCUCUGGGAUGUUCACUACACCUCAUUGAACCUGUUUGGUUCACAGAGCUCCAACUACCGUCUACUUCCUGCAACUGGCCUGCUGCCAACUCCCCAGAUCUCUUGUGGAGCUGCCGGAAGAGACAGCCUGCCACAGAAGAAAGCAGCCCUCCUCUUUCAUGGCCUCCCACAUCUUGAAACAAACACAAGCAAACAAAACAAAAGCUUGAGUCCCAGCCUGAUUCACCAGGUUUGGUUCCCAAUUGUUGAAAUUCCCUUCCCAGGGCUCUCAGAACCAGGGUUGGCUGGAGGGGUGAAAGAGGCUGGCCCUGAGCCCAGUAAUAGGACACCAAGGGGGAGCUAAAAGCUGGGAUCUGGGGUGAAGAUGGGGUCUUCCAAGCUGGGAGGCAGACACCAGGCCAGAGCAACCGGCCUGCCCCAGCUCAGGCCUCUUAACCCAUGCAGGGCAAGAGUAUAAACAGAGGCCACGGACCACAUGCCUCAGUAUUUAAACUUAUAAAUCAAGCUAACAUAACAUGAAAUCAAAUAUGUUCUAUCCUCCUAGCUUGACAAAUACUUUCAUAACGAGAUGGAAUGCCAGGUUCAGAUUUAGAAUUUUCACACUCCUUAAAGUUCCAAGUCAAAAUACAGCAUUAGGGGAGGGCCCCCAACCUCGAGGUCUCCCCUCCCCCAUUUUCUUUCACUCCCAGCUCUGUCUCACACCACGAGGGAUCUUGGGUGAAUGCCCCUCGAUACCCCAGCCCCCCACAAACAGCUGCCCUUUCCCCCCUUGGCCAAGGGUAAGCACAGCAGCAGGGCAGUCUGCCCUUGGCUGGAGAGAUGGAAGGAGAGGCCACACGGGCCCUGAAAAUGCAUUUGGGGACUCUUGGGCAGGAAACUUGGGAGUUUCUGGAGCCUCAAGGAGGGUCUAGUGGGACAGAGCCACUUGGGCCCAUGAGAUCCUUGACCCAUGGAGAAGGGUAGGGCUAGAGGAGGGCCAGGGCAGGCCCUAUGAACAGAAGAACCUAGAGUAACUGCCCUGUCCCCAGAUCCUGUCACCGAGCAGGUAUACUUGGGAGGGUAUUGGAGGGUGGAACCCAAGGGAGCUUGCCCAAGGCACUAGGAAAGAAAAGUGUAAACCUUGUUAGAGAAUGCUAAGGAUAGCUGUUAAAGCCUCAGAGAUUUUACUCAUUUUUGGCUGUUUCUAAAAAUCUUCCCCCAAAGGAAGAUCUUGCUCUCAUUGAGGAUCUGAGAAAGAAUUCUCUCCAAGUAGUUUCAAAACAUUCUGAUGUAAAAACUCUGGUGUGUUAGUCAAAAAUAAAUUUUGUUGCUUGAUGGCUUCACCAUUCACAAAAUAUUCUAUCCAUCCAAUUUAAAAAUAAGAGCAGGGUAUUUAAAACUCUUUCAAUAAACACAAAUUAAAACAAUGAAGCUUG